rnacentral:RNase_P_RNA from 2 species
UAAGCAGACUACCUUAUCGCUGUUCUGAAAAGGAGAGAGGAAAGUCCGGACACCAUAGUACAAUAUAGCGGGUAACGCCCGUCCGUCGUAAGAUGCGGACAAGUGCAACAGAAAGUAUGUACAGGUAAUGCUGUAGUGAAACCAGGUAAACUCUAUGUGGUGCAACGUUAUGUAAACCAGCGCUUGAGAGUUGUGCGCUCGAUGUUGGAGGGUAAACGGUUUGAUGCUGUAAGUAAUUACAGUACUAGAUAAAUGAUAAGGACUCUUUUUAAGAGGACAGAAUCCGGCUUAUGGUCUGCUUAUUUU